rnacentral:rRNA from 1 species
UACGUAGGGUCCGAGCGUUGUCCGGAAUUACUGGGCGUAAAGAGCUCGUAGGUGGUUUGUCGCGUUGUUCGUGAAAACUCACAGCUCAACUGUGGGCGUGCGGGCGAUACGGGCAGACUUGAGUACUGCAGGGGAGACUGGAAUUCCUGGGUGUAGCGGUGGAAUGCGCAGAUAUCAGGGAGGAACACCGGUGGGCGAAGGCGGGUCUCUGGGCAGUAACUGACGCUGGAGGAGC